rnacentral:rRNA from 1 species
AGAGAGAGACAUGCGCGCAUAUCAAUAAGCGGAGGAAAAGAAACUAACAAGGAUUCCCCUAGUAACGGCGAGUGAAGCGGGAAGAGCUCAAAUUUGAAAUCUUAAAGGGUUUCCCUUUACGAAUUGUAGUUUAAAGAAGUGUUUUCUGUUGAGGUUUUGGUAAAAGUUCUUUGGAAUAGGACAUCAUAGAGGGUGAGAAUCCCGUAUUUGACCAUUACUUUCCACUUUGUGAUACACUUUCAAAGAGUCGGAUUGUUUGGGAAUGCAGUCCAAAAUGGGUGGUAAAUUUCAUCUAAAGCUAAAUAUUGGCGAGAGACCGAUAGCGAACAAGUACCGUGAGGGAAAGAUGAAAAGAACUUUGAAAAGAGAGUUAAACAGUACGUGAAAUUGUCAAAAGGGAAGCGUUUGACACCAGUGUUGUUUUCUCGAAAAUCAAUUAAAAAGAGUUAGAUUUUGUGUUGUAUUGACCUUAAUCAGCUUCUGCACUUCACUUUUCUUGUCUUUUUUUAAUGCACUUUUCGUUUAACAAGUCAACAUCAGUUUCUUUUGUUGUAAAAGGGUCAUUGGAAGGUGGCUUUCUUUUCGGAGAAAGUGUUUAUAGCCUUUGCCUCUGCAAUCGGAGAGAUUGAGGUCUGCAGCGUAGAUCCUUCGGGGUUAGAUACAUUUGUGCUAAGUUAUAGCCUUUUCAUAGACAACUUGUUGACUAUGAUCAGUCAUGUAGCUUACUCGCUUAUGCUAUUUUACCUACGCUUAGGAUGUUGAUGUGAUACUGCGAGCA